GACGAACGCUGGCGGCGUGCUUAACACAUGCAAGUCGAGCGGAAAGGCCCUUCGGGGUACUCGAGCGGCGAACGGGUGAGUAACACGUGAGUAACCUGCCUUCAGCUUUGGGAUAACCCUCGGAAACGGGGGCUAAUACCGGGUAUUCACUGUCGACGGCAUCGUUGGUGGUGGAAAGUUUUUCGGCUGGGGAUGGGCUCGCGGCCUAUCAGCUUGUUGGUGGGGUAAUGGCCUACCAAGGCGGCGACGGGUAGCCGGCCUGAGAGGGCGACCGGCCACACUGGGACUGAGACACGGCCCAGACUCCUACGGGAGGCAGCAGUGGGGAAUAUUGCACAAUGGGCGGAAGCCUGAUGCAGCGACGCCGCGUGGGGGAUGACGGCCUUCGGGUUGUAAACCUCUUUCGACCCUGACGAAGCGUGAGUGACGGUAGGGGGAGAAAAAGCACCGGCCAACUACGUGCCAGCCGCCGCCGUAAAAC
rnacentral:rRNA from 1 species